GGCAGCCGUGAGUGAGAGUGCGGCUGGAGCGGCGCGGCCGGUCGCUUCCUCACGGCCGAACGGACUGCCGACAGUCGGAGAGGGACUGGGGCGGGUGGGAGGGAGGCAAGUGUGCGAUGGCUCCGAGGGGAGGAGCAGGGAGCCGGGCAGAGCCUGUCACCGCACCUGCAGGUGGCAGAAUCAGGCACUGCGGGACGCGGCCUCGCACCUACUGGCUUACGAUGCGGGCUGCUCCGAGAGGAGCAGGUCACGGUGCCCCUUGUGCCACAGGGGACCGUUCCCAAACCUGCGCAGGUACACAGCGGGAGAGCCGCUGGUGCCAGUGCGGCUGAGCAGGGCCGGGAGAGGCAGUCGUGCUGUCGGAUGCUUCACAGAUGAGCUGAAGUGAAACUAUGUGGAAAUAGUUUUAACUUUUGUAUUGAAAGCUCUGUCUUUAAGACCUGUGGAAUCCCUCAGAACAUAGUAGUAUUUGGCUUCAGAACAAAGUUAAUUGUAAGGACGGACAGGAAAUGAAACUUCUGAGGAAAUUCCAGAUCAACAGGCACACCAGAAAGAACAUAGUAAAUAUUCUACUGUUAUUUCUCUUUUCAGCGUCAGCAUUUAAUAUUAUUUGUAGUUAACUGAAGUAGGUGAGAAAAAUUCUUUACAGAAGUCAGACAAAAGGGGGAGCCCUUCCUACACCCAUCCAGCAUCCAGCUUUUCCCUAUGAUUAGUUUACAAAGACCCUGAUUCAACAAAAUAAUUCCUGCAUAGCAAUAUACUUAAAUGCUUUCCUAAAUAAGCAAGCCUUGUUGGGGGGGUUAAGACAAACAAUUUGUACCAUUACUUUAACUGUUGGUGAUUGUCAGUGUAUUUACAUGACAAAUUCAUGCUGAUGUGGGUUUUUUACAAGACUGGAAGGGAAGUCAAUGAAAAUGUAAAAAUGUCAUUGGAAGCAAAGUAUGGUGAAUUAUAGAAAAAAUACCACCACAACUGUGGUGUGUGAUCAUAUGCCAUUUAUUCAACAGGAUAAUCAUUGAGAGGAAUAAAAUAAAAUAGAUACUAAAAACAUUUCUAAUUUAAAAUACAGUGAACUAUGUUCUAAAGCUAUUGAGCCGUUUGAUAGAACUUACCUGAAGCUAUUUGACAGUUUAAUGUCAAGGGCACCAAUCCACAAACCAAAUCCUAGUACCCGUAAAAAAAAAUGUGCACGCUCUCUGUGCAUAACUCUUGCAGAAUGUGAGACUAUUACACAUACAGUGACAUUGUCUUAUAGCUGGCACUGUUACUGCUGCCUAAAAUUGUGUAACUUAUGCAGUGGUUGGGCCUGUGCUUCCUAUUACCAUGUGGGCAGAACUUCCUCACAAGGAACAAAGCAGAGGGUUUUCUAUUUAAUCACUGCAGUUUUGUUGAUGGCCCCUUGUCUUUGUCCAGUUGUGGAUCAGUUAAGGCAGUAGCAACACUCCCUAUCUGCAUACUGCAGGAUCAGGCCCUAGAUGCUCUUUCUUGGCAUUAACUGUUUCACGCUUCUGUAUAUUUCUGUAGAAAGCUUGUGUUAAUCUGAGAAUCCAGUGGGGAGGUUUUAUGACUGAGAUUAUUAAUUUUUAACUUUAGAUCUGUAACUUGGAUUUGUAGAAUUAAGUCUAUAUGUACAAUAUACAGACUUUCCAUUUUAAUGUAUUUAUACUGUUAUGCAUACUGUGUAUGUUUGUAUGUGUGUAUAUAUAAAUAUAUAUGCAGUAAAACUCUA